rnacentral:rRNA from 1 species
UACAGAGGUCUCGAGCGUUGUUCGGAUUCAUUGGGCGUAAAGGGCGCGUAGGCGGCGGGGGAAGUCUGGUGUGAAAUCUCGGAGCUCAACUCCGAAAUUGCACUGGAUACUGCUCUGCUAGAGGGCUGGAGAGGAGAUCGGAAUUCACGGUGUAGCAGUGAAAUGCGUAGAUAUCGUGAGGAAGACCAGUGGCGAAGGCGGAUCUCUGGACAGCUCCUGACGCUGAGGCGCGAAGGCUAGGGGAGCAAACGGG